rnacentral:rRNA from 1 species
CCUACGGGGAGCUGCAGUGGGGAAUAUUGCACAAUGGGCGCAAGCCUGAUGCAGCCAUGCCGCGUGUGUGAAGAAGGCCUUCGGGUUGUAAAGCACUUUCAGCGGGGAGGAAGGCGGUGAGGUUAAUAACCUCAUCGAUUGACGUUACCCGCAGAAGAAGCACCGGCUAACUCCGUGCCAGCAGCCGCGGUAAUACGGAGGGUGCAAGCGUUAAUCGGAAUUACUGGGCGUAAAGCGCACGCAGGCGGUCUGUCAAGUCGGAUGUGAAAUCCCCGGGCUCAACCUGGGAACUGCAUUCGAAACUGGCAGGCUAGAGUCUUGUAGAGGGGGGUAGAAUUCCAGGUGUAGCGGUGAAAUGCGUAGAGAUCUGGAGGAAUACCGGUGGCGAAGGCGGCCCCCUGGACAAAGACUGACGCUCAGGUGCGAAAGCGUGGGGAGCAAACGGGAUUAGAUACCCUAGUAGUC